rnacentral:tRNA from 1 species
AUUCAAAUAUCUUAUAAUAGAGUAUAACACUGAAUAUGUUAAUGAGAUAAUAUUAUCUUUGAAUA